rnacentral:rRNA from 1 species
GACGAACGCUGGCGGCGUGUUUAACCCAUGCAAGUUGAACGAGAAGACUGAAGUGGAACCUUCGGGUGAAGCAUUAGUUAGACAGUAGCGAACGGGUGAGUAACGCGUGAAUAACCAACCCUCCACAGGGGGACAACAUCUGGAAACGGAUGCUAAUACCGCAUAAGACCACGGUACCGCAUGGUACAGGGGUAAAAGAUUUAUCGGUGGAGGACGGAUUCGCGUUCCAUUAGCUAGUAGGUAGGGUAAUGGCCUACCUAGGCAACGAUGGAUAGCCGAGCUGAGAGGCUGAUCGGCCACACUGGAACUGAGAUACGGUCCAGACUCCUACGGGAGGCAGCAGGGAAGAAUAUUGUACAAUGGGCGAAAGCCUGAUACAGCAACGCCGCGUGAAGGAAGAAGGCCUUCGGGUUGUAAACUUCUGUGACGAGGGACGAAAAAAAUGACGGUACCUCGAGAGGAAGCUCCGGCAAACUACGUGCCAGCAGCCGCGGUAAUACGUAGGGGGCAAGCGUUGUCCGGAAUCACUGGGCGUAAAGGGCGCGUAGGCGGCCGAAUAAGUUGAAUGUGAAAUCCCAG